GCGGGUGUAGUUCAAUGGUAGAACACCAGCCUUCCAAGCUGGUUACGUGAGUUCGAUUCUCAUCACCCGCUCAA
rnacentral:tRNA from 2 species